GACAGAGGGUGCAAACGUUGUUCGGAAUUACUGGGCGUAAAGCGCGUGUAGGCUGCUCAGAAAGUCGGAUGUGAAAGCCCUGGGCUUAACCUAGGAAGUGCAUUCGAAACUUCUGAGCUUGAGUUCUGGAGAGGAAGGCGGAAUUCUCGGUGUAGAGGUGAAAUUCAUAGAUAUCGAGAGGAACACCGGUGGCGAAGGCGGCCUUCUGGACAGUGACUGACGCUGAGACGCGAAAGCGUGGGGAGCAAACAGG
rnacentral:rRNA from 1 species